rnacentral:lncRNA from 1 species
UAAAGCUGCAUAUAUUCUUGGAGUUAAGAUUUCAAGAGAUCGUCCAAAGAAACUAUUGUAUCUCUCACAAGAGAAUUACAUUAGAAAAGUUCUUGAAUGAUUUAAUAUGCAAAAUAGUAGCCAGUUGAAACUCCUAUCAGUAAAGUUCAUACCUUGGGAAGUCACAUGUGUCAUAAGACUCCUGAAGAGACAGAAAGAAUGAGCUGAGCUCCUUAUAGGAACGCAAUCGGAAGUCUAAUAUAUGCUAUGGUGUGCACUAGACUUAAUAUCUGUCAAGCAGUUGGCUUGGCAAGUAAAUAUCAGACCGACCCAGAUUUAGCACAUUGGACAACAGUAAAGAGGAUCAUGAGAUAUCUGAAGGGAACUGCUGAUUAUGCCAUUUGUUAUCAAGGCAUCAAGGAUCUGUGAUUAGUUGGAUACAGUGAUGCUGACCAUGGAGGAGAUCUAGACAAGAGGAAGUCUACCUCAGGAGAUGUAUUCUUACUGAGUGAUGGGGCUAUAUCAUGGGGUAUUACGAAACAAUCAUGUGCAUCACUAUCUACGAUGGAAGCCAAAUAUGUGGCUUUCGAAACAGCAACACUAGAAGCUAUUUGGUUGAAACAGUUCUUGGAGCACUUGUUGGAUAUUGCUGAAAAUACUAAACCAGUAUUAGUCUACUAUGACAGUGAGGCUACAAUAUCCUCUUCUAAGAACCCAAAGUUUAAUUGCAAAAACAAACAUAUAGAUAUCAAGUAUUACUAUAUGAGAGACAUGGUUAGACGCAUGAUAGUGAAUGUGAAGUAUGUGUCUACAAAAGAUAUGUUACCAGAUUCAUUGACCAAGCCUUUGUCUAGAGAUACAUUUGUGGGAGAUACUAGGUCUCAAGGCUUGCGUUAACUUUGAGAUACUUUAUUUUGUUAUUUAUUUUCCCGUGUUCUCAAACUUAUAUUCUUUGAUUAUCAAUAAAGUUGAUACAUACGUACAUGUUUUUAUUGUUGAAUGUUACGUACAUUCUUUGUUCAUUUUUUUAAGUAUGUCGAGUAGACAUGAGGUUGGCCUUCUCACAUAGGAAAUUGCCUACUUAUCUUAGUGAUGUGAGGAGAUGAGACAUGAUUUUAAGCAAAAUUAUCAUAAGGAUGAUUUAAGAACUAUUUGCUUAAAAUCAGAAUGUCGAUUAAACAAUUACAUAAGGUCAUCAGGGCGAAAAAUGUUCACAUAGUCUACUUUAUGAGCAAGAUGUGAGAUAAUGUAGAUCAAAGAACUCAAAUUUAGAUACUUAUGGUGUCUAAAUAUCAUCUCUACAAUAUUCUUUAUGAGAUAAAGACAUAUGCUUCUUGGGAAAAGGGAGAAAAUGUUGUAGCACAUAUUUCAUACCAUGUGUGAGACCCAGAGCUUUAUGAUAGCUCAAGAUUUUGUACCCUUAGAGACUCUGAUCAGAUACUUGAGACUUAGCAUGAUGUUAGCUAUCUUGGUGUGUUUCCAAAAGACCAUGAAUACAGAUACGGUCUAGCAGAGCAUAACUAGGAAAGUAGUCACACUAAUAUUAAGGGAAUAGUGAGAAUAGGAAGACCAUUGAUGGAAUCUCAUUUAUUUGUAUUUAUUGGUGCACCAAUUAUGACAUGAGUUAUGAUUGGGAAUACAAGAAAUAAUGAUAUAUGAGAUUUUGAGACUAUAUUAGUUCUCACAGUAUGCUGGUCACACGGUCUACUUCCCUGUAUAAAUGAUUAAGGAGAUGGGUUGAGAAUAUGCUUCUCAGGCUAGAUCAGCAGUCCCAUUAUGUGUGAGUGGGAGAUGUAGGAAAUAUUGGUUCCACGCAUAAGGGGUGCUCUUAGGCCCAAUAGGGUUAUUAGUUAACCCUAAUAUUUCCUAUAUAAGUACACUUAGUGUGGACAUUAAAAAUAGACUUUCUAUAGUAUUUUUCUCUAUGCUCUUUCUCUCGCUGAAUCAAACUAGGGUUUAGACAGUGGAAUUGGGAGUUGCUCCAAUACACCGUGACAACCACCGCCGACCUGUAAUUCCAGCCACAGUUUAUCCGUUUUUCCUUUCGCGAACCAGUAAGUUCUUGUUUUACAGUUUACGCGCUAUCUAAUGUGUUUAGAUUAACGUGUUAUUUUAAAAACACAUGAUACUUAAACUCAAUUAAAUAUUAACAGUAAUAAAAUACAGGGAAUUAGUAUACCGUCCACUUAAAUCCCAAAAUUAUACAAGACUCUCAGUAGCAUAAAUUCAGCUGGCUUUUAACAUUACACAAACUGUAGGACAAUCAAAUUCAACUCAAAUUCUGGCUAACUCAAUAGACAAUUUAUAUGAUAUUUCAACCUUAUAUGAGCCUAUUUCAAUGCAUAUAAUAACAAAUAAAACUUUAUGAGACUAUAAAGUAAACGAUUCUGAAUUUAAACAACAAUUUCGACUUAAACAUGCUUAUACACAAAUCAGGGGUAAUUCAGUGUAUGGCUCGACCCUUAAAGUAAUAACCUAAAGCAAUUCCUUUGUCUAAAAUGACUGCAUACUGACUAUCAGCUUGGAAAACAAAUCAACUGCCCAUUUCACUUAAAUAAAGUACUACAUGACUUUAAAUAGCACACUAUACUUACUGGUAUGUUUUCCAAUUGAAAGUUUCUAGUCUCCAGCCUAUACUUGUCAUUUUUAGCAAGUUCAUGCAGAAAUCAACACCAAAACAAAUAUUGUUUUCAGCAAAACUAAAACAGGUCAAAAACACAGGUAAAUCGCUUGAACCUUCUGCUGCAGUAAUCUUAAAAGUCCAUUCAUACAAAUACAUGUUCAACUCAUUUAAAUUAAGCGACUAAAGCUAAUGAUUUGUCCAUUAUUACAAAUAGAGCUUAAAACUAGAAUAGAAAAGAACAAACAUAAUGAAAAAAAUUAAGCUAAUUAGAGAGCCUAAUGAUUUCAGGAAUGUAGAAAAUAACAUUUAACAGACUGGUAUGCCAUGGGUUUUUAGCUUAAUCAAAUACUUCAUGCUCUUCCAUUCACAUGUCAAGAAAGUGUAAUGAAUACCUGGAAGUUCAUAUAGAAACAAGGAGAAAGAAGAGUUAGCAAAAGCAACAGAAUCAGCUCAACCAAACCAGCCAAAUCCCAACUUCUUUCAAACCAAGUUAAACCCAAAUGAACACACUUCUUGGAGCCUAUUUUUUUUAGAAAAACUUCUGAUCACUAAUGAAGACAAGGAACAAAACAAGCAGAUUUUUGCUAUUCAAAUGCAAAUAGCUUUCAGUAGCUUCAGGGUAUAAAGAACUUCAGUAGUUUAUGAAC